GAUGAACGCUGGCGGCGUGCCUAAUACAUGCAAGUCGAGCGGACCAAAGAGAGCUUGCUCUCUGAGGUUAGCGGCGGACGGGUGAGUAACACGUGGGUAACCUGCCUGUAAGACGGGGAUAACUUCGGGAAACCGAAGCUAAUACCGGAUGAUAAAGAGAAAUGCCUGUUUCUUUUUUGAAAGUCGGCCUUGUGCUGACGCUUACAGAUGGGCCCGCGGCGCAUUAGCUAGUUGGUGAGGUAACGGCUCACCAAGGCGACGAUGCGUAGCCGACCUGAGAGGGUGAUCGGCCACACUGGGACUGAGACACGGCCCAGACUCCUACGGGAGGCAGCAGUAGGGAAUCUUCGGCAAUGGACGAAUGUCUGACCGAGCAACGCCGCGUGAGCGAUGAAGGCCUUCGGGUCGUAAAGCUCUGUUGUCAGAGAAGAACAAGUACCGGAGUAACUGCCGGUACCUUGACGGUACCUGACCAGAAAGCCACGGCUAACUACGUGCCAGCCGCCGCCGUAAUAC
rnacentral:rRNA from 1 species